rnacentral:rRNA from 1 species
GAUGAACGCUGGCGGCGUGCCUAAUACAUGCAAGUCGAGCGAACGGACGAGAAGCUUGCUUCUCUGAUGUUAGCGGCGGACGGGUGAGUAACACGUGGAUAACCUACCUAUCAGACUGGGAUAACUUCGGGAAACCGGAGCUAAUACCGGAUAAUAUUUUGCACCGCAUGGUUCACAAGUGAAAGACGGUCUUGCUGUCACUUAUAGAUGGAUCCGCGCUGCAUUAGCUAGUUGGUAAGGUAACGGCUUACCAAGGCAACGAUGCAUAGCCGACCUGAGAGGGUGAUCGGCCACACUGGAACUGAGACACGGUCCAGACUCCUACGGGAGGCAGCAGUAGGGAAUCUUCCGUAAUGGGGGAAAGCCUGACGGAGCAACGCCGCGGGAGUGAUGAAGGUCUUCGGAUCGUAAAACUCUGUUAUUAGGGAAGAACAUAUGUGUAAGUAACUGUGCAGAUCUUGACGGUACCGAAUCAGAAAGCCACGGCUAACUACGUG